CCUACGGGAGGCAGCAGUGGGGAAUCUUGCGCAAUGGGGGAAACCUUGACGCAGCAACGCCGCGUGGGUGAUGAAGGCCUUCGGGUCGUAAAGCCCUGUCAGGUGGGAAGAAACAUGUCGGUGCUAAUAUCACCGACGUUUGACGGUACCGCCGGAGGAAGCACCGGCUAACUCCGUGCCAGCAGCCGCGGUAAUACGGAGGGUGCAAGCGUUGUUCGGAAUUACUGGGCGUAAAGCGCGUGUAGGCGGUCGGGCAAGUCAGAUGUGAAAGCCUUCCGCUCAACGGAAGAAGUGCAUUUGAAACUACCCGGCUGGAGUACGGGAGAGGAGAGUGGAAUUCCCGGUGUAGAGGUGAAAUUCGUAGAUAUCGGGAGGAACACCAGUGGCGAAGGCGGCUCUCUGGUCCGAUACUGACGCUGAGACGCGAAAGCGUGGGGAGCAAACAGGAUUAGAUACCCUGGUAGUCCACGCCGUAAGCGAUGGGCACUAGGUGUAGGAGGUAUUGACCCCUUCUGUGCCGAAGUUAACGCGUUAAGUGCCCCGCCUGGGGAGUACGGCCGCAAGGUUAAAACUCAAAGGAAUUGACGG
rnacentral:rRNA from 1 species